GAUGAACGCUGGCGGCGUGCCUAAUACAUGCAAGUCGAGCGAACGGACGAGAAGCUUGCUUCUCUGAUGUUAGCGGCGGACGGGUGAGUAACACGUGGAUAACCUACCUAUAAGACUGGGAUAACUUCGGGAAACCGGAGCUAAUACCGGAUAAUAUUUUGAACCGCAUGGUUCAAAAGUGAAAGACGGUCUUGCUGACACUUAUAGAUGGAUCCGCGCUGCAUUAGCUAGUUGGUAAGGUAACGGCUUACCAAGGCAACGAUGCAUAGCCGACCUGAGAGGGUGAUCGGCCACACUGGAACUGAGACACGGUCCAGACUCCUGCGGGAGGCAGCAGUAGGGAAUCUUCCGCAAAGGGCGAAAGCCUGACGGAGCAACGCCGCGUGAGUGAUGAAGGUCUUCGUAUCGUAAAACUCUGUUAUUAGGGAAGAACAUAUGUGUAAGUAACUGUGCACAUCUUGACGGUACCUAAUCAGAAAGCCAGGGCUAACUACGUG
rnacentral:rRNA from 1 species